rnacentral:rRNA from 1 species
GCUCCAAUAGCGUAUAUUAAAGUUGUUGCAGUUAAAAAGCUCGUAGUUGGAUUUCGGAAGGUCCUUAGUAAUCCGCCCCUUCGGGGAGCGGGUUGCUGGCCUCCUAUGUUCCUAACGGUCCUCAUCCGCGAGGGUGGGGAAUCAACCGCUAGGAUCGUUUACUUUGAGGAAAUUAGAGUGUUCAAAGCAGGCGUAACUCGCCUCCGAAUACGUUAGCAUGGGAUAAUGGAAUACGACUUCGGUCUUGUUUCGUUGGUUUCGCUUGGCUGAAGUAAUGAUUGAUAGGGAUAGUUGGGGGCAUUCGUAUUUAACUGUCUGAGGUGAAAUUCUUGGAUUUGUUAAAGACGGACUACUGCGAAAGCAUUUGCCAAGGAUGUUUUCAUUGAUCAAGAACGAAAGUUAGGGGAUCGAAGACGAUCAGAUACCGUCCUAGUCUUAACCAUAAACUAUGCCGACUAGAGAUUGGAGGUCGUUAUCUAUACGACUCCUUCAGCACCUUAUGAGAAAUCAAAGUCUUUGGGUUCCGGGGGGAGUAUGGUCGCAAGGCUGAAACUUAAAGGAAUUGACGGAAGGGCACCACCAGGAGUGGAGCCUGCGGCUUAAUUCGACUCAAC